GACGAACGCUGGCGGCGUGCUUAACACAUGCAAGUCGAACGGAAAGGCCCUGCUUUUGUGGGGUGCUCGAGUGGCGAACGGGUGAGUAACACGUGAGUAACCUGCCCUUGACUUUGGGAUAACUUCAGGAAACUGGGGCUAAUACCGGAUAGGAGCUCCUGCUGCAUGGUGGGGGUUGGAAAGUUUCGGCGGUUGGGGAUGGACGCGCGGCUUAUCAGCUUGUUGGUUGGGUAGUGGCUUACCAAGGCUUUGACGGGUAGCCGGCCUGAGAGGGUGACCGGCCACAUUGGGACUGAGAUACGGACCAGACUCGUACGGGAGGCAGCAGUGGGGAAUAUUGCCCAAUGGGCGGAAGCCUGAUGCAGCAACGCCGCGUGCGGGAUGACGGCCUUCGGGUUGUAAACCGCUUUCGCCUGUGACGAAGCGUGAGUGACGGUAAUGGGUAAAGAAGCACCGGCUAACUACGUG
rnacentral:rRNA from 1 species